AAACAAAAAAUGGGGUGCUCGCACAGGCGGGCUGAGAGUAAGCGGACGCUUUAACCCGGAACCUGAUUUGGAUAAUGCCAACGUAGGGAGAUAAUGAAUCACAAGUG
rfam:Roseburia intestinalis XB6B4 draft genome.